GCAUGCAGGUGAGAAGGGAAGAUACAUGUAAUCUGCAUGUCUGCCACCAUUCCUUGUUACCCUUUUUCAUAUCCCAUGAGCACAGCACUCCAGCGGACCUACCCAAAAUAUGUGGGAGUUCAGUGAAACUCAAACAGCAUGCUUCUGGUCAGCCUAUACAGUCUCUGUCCUGGUGAGGAGCAUGAUCACCAACAGGCAAGAUCUUCUGGCCUUGAAGUUUCGCUUGAGUUAAAAGAGCUCAUCUCAGGACUUUCUGAAUUUUCAGCCCAUAUGACAUGGAAGAAGAGUUAGAAGGGGAAUCUGACUGCUUGGAUCAGGGACUGUCUGGCUGGUGGAACUUGAAUGUAUACAACACUCUUCAUUUGCAUGUUUUGACAUUUUAAAAAAUGUUUUCACUUUCCUUAUCUACUUUGACUCUAAUAACAUCCUGAAAGUCUGCAGGUGUACCCAACAGCUCCGAAGAGACAGUGACAUCGAGAACGGGCCAUGAUGACGAUGGCGGUUUUGUCGAAAAGAAAAGGGGGAAAUGUGGGGAAAAGCAAGAGAGAUGAGAUUGUUACUGUGUCUGUAUAGAAAGAAGUAGACAUAGGAGACUCCAUUUUGUUCUGUACUAAGAAAAAUUCUUCUGCCUUGAGAUGCUGUUAAUCUAUGACCUUACCCCCAACCCCGUGCUCUCUGAAACAUGUGCUGUGUCAAACUCAGGGUUAAAUGGAUUAAGGGCGGUGCAAGAUGUGCUUUGUUAAACAGAUGCUUGAAGGCAGCAUGCUCAUUAAGAGUCAUCACCACUCCC
rnacentral:lncRNA from 1 species